rnacentral:rRNA from 1 species
UGAGCAAUCUGCCCUUCUCAUCGGAAUAAGCGUUGGAAACGACGUCUAAUGCCGAAUACGACCUCCUUUCGCAUGAUCGGAGGUGGAAAGCUCCGGCGGAGAAGGAUGAGCUCGCGGCCUAUCAGCUAGUUGGUGUGGGUAAUGGCCCACAAGGCGACGACGGGUAGCCGGCCUGGAGAGGGUGACCCGGCCACACGUGGGACUGAGACACGGCCCAGACCUCCCGUAACGGGGAGUAGCG